rnacentral:lncRNA from 1 species
AGUAUUUCUAUCUAUCUAUCAUUAUACUUAUAUUAUUUUAGAAUAUAAAUAUACAUAACUAUGAAAAACCAAAUAAAGAUUUUAUGCUUAUAUAUAUAUAUGUCUUUUGCUUAGUGUGUUUAAUAAAUAAAUAAAGUGGCUAUGCUAAUCUGUAUCUAAAUAAAUCUCAAGCAUGGAAAUGAUGAAUAGUUGCUCUGCCUAAUUUGCACAUUUUAAGUUCUCUCUCAAGUUUAGACAUAACUGUUAUAAUUUAAAGCUUGCUCUAGACCUAAACUUGUGGGAUGAAAACUUGAUCUGAAAUCUAAGUUGUUAACGGAUACGAUAUGGGAAGGUUGAGCUGCUGUUUAUCUGUUUCUAGAGAUGCUAGAAUUCUGGAGAAUUUUAUCUUUAGAAAUCUUUAAAAUGUUGCAUGAUGAGUUCCUGUAUGAUGAGAGUUUAAAUUCCUACCACAGCCAUAUAUACAUGCUUGCUAGACUUCGAGCCACACAUUUACUUUUUACUGCUUAUGAGCAUUGAGUGUGGUCAGGCUGUGUAGACCCUUAGGAGCUUGUCAUGUGGUUAAAUCAAGAUUCACUUGCACGUUCACUCACACAUGCUACUUCUACUUCGGAAGUACCAUCCACAUAUAUCCAUACAUUUCCAUCUUCAGAAUCACCCAAAAAUAUUCUACUCCUAAUCCGGGAGAGAAUAGCCAAAAAUAAUUUUGUUUUUCCUUGUGUAAUAAAUGUCUCAAGAUCAAUAAAGAGUAUUAUUAUUAUGUCUUGUGUGUCUCUACUUUAUUUUUGUGCAAGAAAGCAGAAAACAAGUAUGGGGGAGAUCCCUCGACAUGCUAAACACACUCCGACUACACCACUCCACGAUUCAGGUACACACUCUGCACACUUUACUUUACACAUAUAUAUAUUUUAGAUUAUGCAGAAUAUUGUUCCCGACAUGAUAAAAUAAAAAGAUUAAAAUAUUUCUAAUCAUGAUUAAUCUCAAUCUGUGAUAUUUCCUAAAAACUUGCAAAUUAUUAUAAAAUCAUUUUAAACCCUGUGUUACUUAAGUCAAUAUGGAAUAUGUGAUGGUAGAGUAUGAGUUUCUUAUUCUUGAUAUCAUUGUUGCUUGGAGAAUUUAUUUCAAAAUAUUCAAAAUUCUAGCUACCAUCCUCAGUGUUUUAUAUGCCUGAUAAAACUGAAAAUAUUAAUUAUAAAAGCUAUCUGCUCUGUAUUGAGUUUGUUCAAAAUGAGUUAGACCCAUGUUGAGAGAUUUAUCAUGCUCCCAAGAUCAAGACAUUAUUUCAGUAAGAUUCACUCUUCCGAAGUAUUAUUGCAUUAGAGGCAUGGGCUAUGCAAAAAAAAAUAGAAAUAUUUCGAGGAAAUAAAAAGGAGCAAGUGCUCGAUAACCUCGCAGAAAAAAAUGGACAAGUGUCCGGCAGUAGAAUUAGGGGUACCUCGGUACCCACUUAAAAAAAAAGAGAAAAGAGAAAAAAAAUGAAAUGAUGAUAGCCCAUGGUCCCUCUAAUAAGCAAUAUGCCAGCAAGAGUUGACAAAGAUUUUAAUUUUCAAAGUCUUUGAUCUAAGAGUAUGACAUUUCCCUCCUCGGAUCCCGUUUUGAUCAGGCAAUAAAUGCAAAGUAAGUAUGCUUGAGAAUUUUUGCAAAAUAAAACAGCCUCAGUGAGAUAUAUAUAAAAGAUAAUGAGUGAUCUGAGAGAACCUAUGAGGAUCAAAAAGGUAUGCUAACUUUCUUUCAAAAAUAUACAAAAACUCCAAGUGACAGGAUUGAAAAGAAAGAAUCUUUACUCUUAACCAUAUACUUCCCUGACUACAAUACACAGUGGAAUUUUAACACCCUGCAAAUUAUAAAAGAGAAUGUUUUAAAUGUUUACCCCAGAUAUUGUUCUCAACCAUCCUUUUCUCGAGGACGAGUAAAAGCCUAAGUAUGGGGGUAUUUGUUGACGGUUCUUAAGUAUCAAUUUUAAUUAUCAAAUAAACAAGAGAAAGGACCAAUAUGCAACCAUCACCUAGAAUUAGGGUUUGAUCUAACAGAAUUCCACGAGUUUUGUUGUUUAUCUGUUUCUGCAGGGGGUUAUCAGGAAAUAAGGAAGAAAGGCCCACAUGUCAGGAUUACAUAGAGAUAUCAACGCACCGCGUAAUUUUACAUCAUCUAGAAGACUCCAGAAGCCACGAGAUCGAAGCGGAGGCAAAACUGGGCCAGGCCCAGGGCGCCCGCCCUGGUAGCCUGGGCGCCCGCCCCCCUGUUGGAGCCAAUUCAGGACUCCUUCGCUCGGGAUAUUCCACCGACCUAUUGGAUCAAGAAAAACAUAGUACCACCUCGCCUAUCGACCCAAAAACGCAUAGAAGGGGAGGACUAUAUAAGCAAGGCCCCCCUGGCCCCUGGAUGACAUGAAGAAAUUAUCAUAGAGACUGAGGGGUGCCCUCGAAGGAAAACCUCUUCUCUAAUUAAUAUUUCUUUUUAGGCUUAGCAAUCAAUGUAAGGUAGAAAUAGAUCUUCUAGUUUCUACUAGAUUGAGAGAGAUAGAGUGGAGGUGUAGAGUGGAGGAAGCCCGGCCUGUCGGUGUCUACUCCAAGCUUGUACAUGCGGGAUCAAGUUCUCCUAACCCGAAGCUUGCUCCUAGGAUUCUUCAGUAAUUCGACUUCUAAAUUCUAGUAAGUUCUUGUUUUAUUGUUCUUAUGGUUUAUGAGUUUACUUUAAUCUCUUCGCGUAGAGUUUAGAGUAAUCAUUGCUGGCGUAAACGUGGUGUUUAGGCUGGGGUACUCAUAGAUAUUCCCUGACUAGCUGGACCGUGGUAGUAGUGAGGAACUUGACGUUUCCGAGCUACCUUUGUAGAUCACAUCUCGUUAGCAGGAAGGAUAGGGUUUAUAGGUGCGGGUUGAACAUCCUUUGUGGUGUCUAGAUUCCGUUAGCCUCCCCAUUAGAACAGUAGAUCAUCCUUACCAAGGUUAGAAGGAGACUACGGUUGCAGUCUUCUCUAUUUAUCACUCACAUCGAAAGACAUUCUUUGUGCCUAAAGGGAUAAUAGCAAUAGAUUUGGUUAGUCAGAUGCACCCUUUCUCCCAGUGGUAAAAAUAUAAAUACGAUACUCUGGAAAACCUCCCGGGUGAAAUGCUCACCGAUAUCCGUGCGCUUGCGGAUCAUUUCCUUAUUGCGUUACCAAAUAUCAACAAUCAUUUCUGGCGCCGUUGCCGGGGAGAAAGACGGUUUGCUGAGAUAACUUUGAGUCUUGCUAUUAUCUUGUAUUAUACUUUUAUACUUUUAUUCUUUUAUCUUUUUAUCUUUAUGGAUAUCUCAAAUUCCAUAACUAUUAUUAAAUUCUUUGCACCUUCGGAGACCAGCCAUAGACCAUGGGAGUCAACACGUCCUGCCGCUAAUUAUGAUCUGUGUCCGGAGUUGAUUGCAAUAGGUCAAAACCAACCCUUUUCUAUAGCCGAGGUCCUAUCUUUUAAUCAAGAAGAUAAUGCACUUUUAGCUACACCUAGGGAAUCUGAUAAUCUUUCUAUAAAUUCUGGUUUAGACCUAGCCUUGCAAGACCAUGUUUUUCUUAGAUAUUUUCACAUUGGUCUUAAUCGUAUAACCUUUGGUAGAGUCCUUCUUUCUUUAUCAGUUAGUAACGGAAGGUAUGUUUUCAUUUGUGGACAUCCUUCUUGUACUAGUCUUCAUAGAAAAAUCAUAGAGAUAGAGAAGGAAUCAUCUCCCAUACAAGGAGAGGAAGUUUCAAUAGCCAAUUUCCAAACCUUCCAAUCCCAUGAUUCGGCUAUCCAACCCAUCCUUGAGCCUAAUAAUCUCUACUAUGCUCUUUCUCUUGAACCUCCCGAUAAUCCUAUGAAUCUCUCUAGACAUCCCAUGCAUAAGAAGGAGGAUUGAGGAGAGCAACAUCAAUGGCUAGAGGGCAUUAAAAAUUCAUGUGCUAUCACCACAUUUGAGAUCUCUAACCCUCUCUUCUUUUCUAUUUAUAAAAACUUUAAAAGAGCGGUUGUCGAUGCAUAUGUUUAUAAUAAAUAUUGCAGAUCUCGUCGAGUUAAUUGAUGGUUUCCCAAGGACAAGCUUAGUGUCCUAAAACAAGCACUUAUCAGAUUGUAACAUGAACUUCUAAUUACUUGCAACAUUACCUUGUGUAUUGAGCAUAUAAGAUAAUUGUAGAAAUAUUCCUUCGGGUAUUCUUGUCACUAACCUUUCUAGGAUUUGAGCAAGGACGGACUCAAGAGUUUCUGCAGUGGUUUUAUGCCUUAAAGGUACACAUGCGUUUAAACAAGAUCUCAUCUCUAGGUUAGGGUAAACUGUUAAGAUUUAAAACUUACUCAUCUCUUGAGCAGUUAAAAGAUAGAACGGUCAAGUCAAGCGUCAUGUCUCUUGUUCUUGAUCAACUAUAGCUCUGGAGUUUUUGCAGAUUUUCCAAUAAAACUCAGAGAUUCCUGUAUGACUCUCUCUAGUCUCUCUUUUGUGGUAUUUCUGGAUCCUUACCAAGGCAGUGAUGAUAUAUGCCUUCUCUCAAAGUAUGUGGUAUUUUUGGUAUGAGGCAUAGUGACAUUGCUUUCUCUCUCACCCAACUUUAAUAAGGUUUUGAUAUCUGGAGCUCAUAGGUGGGAGACAGCUAAUACAUACUUACAAGACAUUUAUUGCAUAGUCAAACCAUGGAUCCAGAGAAACAAGUCAAAAAGUCAAAUCAAGAUGUGCAUGUGUGGCGAAUGAAUGGUGUAUGGUGAUGAUGGUGAUAAUGGUGAAAACAAUGGUGAAAGUCUAAUUCUACUUUUGCUCUUUUGAGGGGAUACACACCUUUCUUGCACUUUGAAGUUUUUUGAUGGGAAUGAGAUGCUCUAUAUUUUAUUUUCUUUUUUUCUUUUUUUCAGGUGGGUAUCUUGUACCCCUAAUUCUACUGUCGGACACUUAUCCAUUUUUAUCUCUCGUCUCACUUUUUCUUUUCUUCGAGGUUUCAGGCACUUGUCCCUUUUUAUUUCCUCGUAUUCACUCUUUUUUUCCAGAGCACUCACCCUCCUAAAAUAAUGUAGCAAGUGGUAGUAACGAAAAUAUCAAGAGAAUUUAUUUCACGGGGAAUCACAGGGAUAGGAUAAUGUUUUUGGCUAGUCUCUCCUAGAUAGGAGUAGAAUAAUUUUGGGUGAAUCUAGAGAUGGAAAUGAAUGGAUGUAUGUGGAUGCAUACUUCCGGAGUAGAAGCAGCAUGUAUGAGUGAACGUGCAAGUGGAUCUUGAUUUUAACCACAUGACAAGCUCCUAAGGGUCUACACAGCUUGACCACACUCAAUGCUCAUAAGUAGUAAAAAGUAAAUGUAUGGUUCAUAGUCUAAUAAGCAUGUAUAUGCGGCUAUGGUAGGAUUUUAAACUCUCAUCAUACAGGAACUCAUCAUGCAAUAUUUUAAAGAUUUUUAAAGAUAAAAUUCUCUAGAAUUCUAGCAUCUCUAGGAACAGAUAAACAGCAGCUCAACCUUCCCAUAUCAUAUCCGUUAACGACUUAGACUUUAGAUCAAGUACUCUUCCCACAAGUUCAGGUUUAGAGCAAAUCUUAAUUCAGAACAGUCAUACCUUAACUUGAGAGAGAUUUCAAUUUUGAGAACUAGUCAUGGCAGAGCAACUAUUCAUUAUUUCCAUGUGAGAGCUUAUCAUGAGGGUUCAUAGCAAACUUUAUUUAUUUAUUUAUUUAGCAAACUAAGAAAAGAUAUAUAUAUAUAAGCAUAAAAUCUUUAUUUGGAUUUUUAUGAUUAUGCAUCUUUUUAUUAAUUGAGUAAAGUAUAAACAUGAGUAGAAACACUUAGCUGGAUAAAUGGGGGUGCUCUCCCCCAAGCUGGAUUUUGUCAUAAUUUCUUCUGAUGUAGCUAGCAGGUGGCGGAGGUGUAUUUGAAUGUCGGCAACACCCUGACAGCGAUUAGAAUGUCCUCCGUCUACAAGUCUUCUUUGAUCCUUGAAUUCUGUGGAGCUCAAAUAGAUAACAAAGCUUUGUGGAACUGGUUAAGUGUUAGCAUAAAAUCUCUUUGCCUUUAUCAUGUUGAGGCUCCUCAAUAAAUGUUACUCUCUUUGGUAGGAUCAUAAAUUUAUUUUUAUAUUUUCAUUUUUAUAGGACAUGAAUAUUUUUAUUUUUAUGCCACCACAGUGAAUGUACUUAUGGGUUUUAUGCCACGAGCAUACUCACAUGGGGCUUACUGAUUUUAACAUUUUUAAUUUCUUUUCAAGAUAGCAUGAUUAACUAACAAGCUAUUUAAGGAAAGUAAAUAAUUUAAGGGAAAAGGGAAUGCAGAAAGGAUAAAUAUGGAUAACUACUGAUUUUACCUUUCGACAAGGGUUCAAUGUUUUAAGUCUUCUGAACAAGACUUCUCACCGUGUUCAUUCUUCAGGUGCGUCCUUUGAUUCAGGUGCGGACCUUGACGUCUGCACCUCUUGAUACGGUGUCACCCAUGUUCUUCGUUUGCCCAGCAGUUCGAAGUGUGGCGUUGGCAGCAUCCUGCUCAGUGUGUUUGUGCUCGUAGAUCCAGGUCCUUCACUUGGUUGAGUCUGAGAGUUAUAAAACUCCUCCAUGUUUUGCUCGAAGUGUACCUGCUCAUAGAGACAAGGCAGAGAUCAAGUGCAUGGGUCCUGUUGGUGGAAAACACCAACAGAACCAAAAGUGUAUUUGUUCUUCUCUAACCUUAAGCAUAGUGAGCAAGACAAAGUUGAUGAAUGAUAAGUUCAUGAGUGUAGCACUUAUAACAUUUGUCAGAUCAGAUCGCUUAACCUUAUGGAGAGAUAAUCUAUCUAUGUAUAUGCCUUUUUCUUUAUAUCUCUCAUAGAUUGAACGUGUAACAUUUUAGCUCAUACGAUUAGGAGUGUGGGAUCAUGGAGGUAGUACUAGGAACAAAGAUUAAAGGACUAAACAUGCUGAAUCAGUUGGGUUGGUUAAUUUGGUGUUAUAAAUCAUACAUGUUUGUCUCUUUAUUUAUGUGAACGCGAGAACCAAGGAGAAGCUUAUAAAAGUGAUAGCCAGAUAUCUUAAGAUGUUACCUUAAUUGAAGAGUGAUGGUACCAUCUUACCUUGUGGAAGCUUCCCAUUCGUAGUGGUUGUGUAUCAUGUUUGUGGCACCCUCCAUGGAUCAUCUCUUAUGAGCUACGUCUUCCUUGUGUAAAUUGUUAAAAUUCAUGUGUCCCUCUCCUUGUCUCCAAUGUGAGUUUAUCUAAGGACUUCCUAGGUUGAUAUUGAAAGUUUUCCUACAGGGGUUAGUCCGACAAAAUAUACCAAUAUCUACUCAAGCAGUUUUUAGUUCAAUGACCAAACUAGACUCCAUGUCUAAUCAGAUUAAGGAAGGCUGUUUAACCUAAGCAGCAUGCUUAAUUUAAAAGCCAAUAGAAGUAUGUGCAGUACUUCCAAACUAACACUUACUAGGAUAAACAAAGGUAGCGUGAUGGCAAUUAUAGAGAUCUACUCAAGUGGAGAUGAAGUAGUGUGAUUAGUAUUUAACAAAUUGAGCAUGUCUCAAAGGUAGGGACAACCAACAUAGCAACAUGACAAAGGAUGUUUUAUGUAAAGUACUCCCCCAAGCUUGAAUUUUGCAAAAUUCAUGUUUGGGUGAAUUUAAUUCAAUGUUGUAUGAUGAUUGGUUGGACAUACCUUGUGCUUGUCAUUCAUCCAAUCUUCUUGCUCCAAUCUUGGAAAGGUUAGUGACAAGAAUACCCGAAGGAAUAUUUUCAUAAUUAUCUUUAUAUGCUCAAUACACAAGGUAAUGUUGCAAAUAAUUAAAAGCUCACGUUACGAUCUGAUCAGUGCUUAUUUUAGGACACUAAGCUUGUCCUUGGGAAACCAUCAAUUUAUGUCGGCGAAGUGGUUUCCCUUCCAACGUUGACCUAUAUCAAGAUCAACUCAACGAGAUCUGCAAUAUUUAUUAUAGACAUAUGCGUCGACAACUGCCCUUUUAAAGUUUUUAUAAAUAGAAAGGAAGAGGGGGUUGGAAAUCUCAAAUGUGGUGAUGUUGGGGAGACCAAUAGAUUGGGAAGAUGUUGCAUAUGAGCAUGGAGUAAAUGAAGUGGCUAUGAAAUAAAUUCCAUGCUCAUUAAUGUUAUCUUCGUCUCCAAUCUGAAUGUUCAGAGUUUCUCUUGGAUUGGUCUCACUUAUGUCCUCUUCUAUAGUUGGAUGAAUCCCAUUUUCAAAGGGAGUCAAGAACUCACCAUUUGAAAUUGAGCCAAAGUCAGAAUCCAUUAAGGCUUCUUCCUUAUCCAUCCAUUCUACACAUUCUAGCCAUUUAGAACUUGUGAUCAGGAAAGGGGAGCUAAUAGAAUUUGCUAUAUGGCUUAGCUCUCCUUCACUUGAUAUGUCAUCCUCGACUUCUUCAUAAAAGGAACCAGGACAUUCUCUAAGAGAAACAUUAUUGCAAGGAUUUGAAUUAUCCCUGGUUGAAGGUCUCUUAUUGUAACAGAACCGUCCAAUUUAUAAGAAUUCAAGUGAAUUAGCGACCACAGAGGCAGUCAAGCCAAUGGACUUGAACCCAUAUAAACCCGGUAGUCCGACGAAAUCUCAAAAGACCUCGAUUCAACCUACAUACAACCAAGAUCGUACAUGAUCAAGCAUCGCCAUCACAGAUUACAUACAUUCAUCACAGAACAUAGUUUUACAUCACAUCAGAGUUAAAAGAGGUUAUUACAAACCAGAUUGGUAGCGGAAACAAAGUAGUUUUAAAACAUCACACCCACUGUUUAAUUACAUGCCAGUUCCCUAGUCAAACCCAACAAAAGCACAACUGAAGAUAAAGAAGGUGAUCAUGCCCAUGAUCUAUUCAUCGUCCGUAGCCGGAUGAUGACAGUUAGCACAGUAGCCGUGGUACAUGACAUCAUCUGCAACAGGGGUAAAUAAAACCCUGAGUACGAGAAGGUACUCAGCUAGACUUACCCGUCAUAAACCAACAUAAAGUGACACCAAGGAGUAUGCAAGGCUGAUCUUUGUGGACUGGUUUGACUCACCUUUUUGCAUAAAAAGCCUUUGUUGUAAGUAACCCAUUUAUAAUAUUUCAGCAGCAGGUUCAUUACUUAACAACUAUCCACUAGAUUAGCACCUGAUCUAAGCAUACACUUGAGUAUUUAAGCAUCACAAUAAUAACCAUAUCCAGAUUAUCACAUAGCUAUCAACAUUCUCUCAUAACCGUUAAGUUUAUUUAGUGAGUUCUACGUGCGACUGCCCGUGCCAAGUUCUCACUAUCCGGGAGAGACGGCGAUUCGAAUCGAUUCCUAUCCAGCUGGAGGGGUAUUCCUAGCACUCACCCAAGCAUACUUCAUGAGGGUAGCUCGGAUCACCUUUAGCACAACUCCAGACCAAUUCGCGGGUCCGUUCAGCGCCGCACCCCCAGGGACCGCCAAUCUGCUAGGGUCUGGACUCUAACCUGACACCUUGGACUUACGCCAUUGACUCCACGCACAUACUUUCUACCAACCGGGGUGCGCACUCAUACAGAAUGGGGUAUCCAGCCAGAGUUGCACUCGUAGGCUUCGCGGUCGGAACGACUUAUCCGGCCAGCUAAGUGUUAGGCAUGCGUUCAACAUGACACGAGGACGUUACAUCAAUCAGUCCUUAAUCGACACAGACGGGGAUAGAUUCACACCCAAGACCUCCAUGCCUUGUUGCUGCACUAUCGUCAUCCCGCCCGGUCUCAAGUUCAUUAUUAGCACCUGGUUAUUUCCACGAUAGCAAAUAUAGCCAACCGUGAUCAGCAUCCACCUAUCUCUCGCAGGUGACAGGAAAUCACCCGGCUUCUACUGAGCUAAGCUUGGCUAAGCGUCAUUUCGAUCCUGGACCUACUCAGGUAAGGUAUGAGGUGGACAAGGUAGUCAUUAUGCAGCAAGGGUGUCAUAUCAACGCCUAACACCUAAUGCAACAAUACAUAACCAUAGUCGAUUGAUAGCUGAACAUGAUAAUAAAAUAGUAGGAGGCUUAUAAUGCUCCGAGGCUUGCCUUCAACGUAAGUAGAGGGAUGGUGGUCAGGGCACUCCGACAAGUCCUCAUCCUCAGCUCCUUGAGGUGGCUCCCCUUGUUGACCUUCCGGCUCCGGCAGCUCGAACUCCAAUACGGUCACGCCCUUGGGUACACCUAUGUAUGCAUGACAAGGAGAUAAAUAUAGAGAAUGCACAUAUGAUGCAUGAUGUCAUGAUGAAGAGCCAAAGAAACAUAAAACAAGGUAUAACAUGAGCAUACACUCCCAAAAUUAAGUGAAUCAUAGGAUAACAAGUAAGUGCAUACUUCUUCUCCGUUAGAGAGGCUAACUAGACAAGUUAAACAACCUUAGUCACUCCUAUUCAGUCACUGGUUUUGUAGACAGACCAACUUGUCACAAGUUUCAGCUAUAACUUAAGCAUCAUUUGGCCAAACUAAGCAAGUAGAUACUUUCUGGAAAGCUUAGUAAAUUUUCUACAAUUUACUUUCAGACAUCCCAGAAUGAUUCCCAACCGAAAUAUGCUAAAACAUACAAAGUUGGCUGGCUGCCCUGGAUAAUCCAGAGAGCAAGCACUUUGCAGCAGCUACUUGUAACAUUCAUAAAUUUUAAACUACUCAACCAAAUGUCAUGAAACUUGGACACGAAGUAGAUAAGAAAGUUAGCUACAAGUUUGUUGUAGACAAGUUUCCCAGAAAACAAAAUCUUCAAUUAGUUCUUAAGCAAUUGCUAUCAGCUACACAGAAUUGCUCUAGGAAAGGCAUAAAUAGCAAAAAUAAUAUUUUGCACAUAAUAAAAAUGUAUCAAAGGGUCAAUCCAAUUGCACCAGUAGAUGGAACAUGUCUAAGAAACACUAGAAAACAUCAUGGCAAGGUCUAAACUCAUUGCUAUCAUCACCUUUUUCAUUUAUUUAAUUAUUAAGGUGAUUUAGUGAACAUGCAUCCCAAGUGCUUCAAGAAUUCUAAAAAAAUUACAGCACGUUACUUAUGCUAACACAAGGUUACUGUAAAAUUUUCAGGGCACUUGCACAUACAGAUUGUGGGAUACAAAAAUAACAAGCUAGCAAAGGCAUGCAAGGCAUAAAUGUGAAAACCUAUCAAAAAACAACAGAUUUCAGAUUUUUCCUAGCUUUCUUUACACAUGAGUACAACACUCAGCAAGUUUCACCCCAAAAGGAGUUAUAAUUUAUUUAUUAAAAAUACCACAAGAAACUCUUAUUUGAACAAGAAAUAUUUAUAACUUCACAAUCAGGCCUCCAAAAAACAUGAUAAAUUUAUCAGAGCCUAUUCAUAUCAUAAGUAACAACACCCUAAAUUUGCAUGGCCAGCAGAUCCACAGAUCUCAAGAUAUAAUUACCUCCUAAUAAACCAAGAUUAAUUUAUAUCUAUUUAUUUCCAUAAAAACAUGGCAUGUUUCAUAUUUUUAUUAAAAACUAGAUUACUACCAGAACUUAGCAAAAUUGGAACCAUGUCAUUUGGAUAUAUAAAACUCGAGAUAUGAAUUUUCCAAAAAACAACAUAGGCUCUGCAAAACAGUGAACCAGGGAUGAGAGAGGAGAGACUGACACCCGGGACCCACGCGACAGAGAGACAGAGACAGGGGAGAUGCUCGUCGCCGGCGAAACUCAACGACGGUGAGGUCUCGGUCGGAUCCAAGGGCAUCUACGUGUUCCUCUCAUCAAGGCGGACUCAGUGACCUACUCUACCCGCGCUCUACUGGACCCUAGAGUGCUUGCCGUCGGGAAUGGCGGAGCGGCGGUGCUGCGCGGCGUUACUCCGGCGGAUCUAGGCAAUGGCGACGCGGUAGAGCUUGCGGACGAGCAAGAGCGACUCAAGACGAAGCUAUAGGAAGAAGAAUCACGGCCGGAGGUGAACCAGAGAGGUCUGGCCACGUUGCCGGUGAUUCCUGUGAACUCCGGCGAGGUGGAGCUCGCGUCGGAGUGGGCAAUGUGACCUCACCGGUGCUUGGCUAAGGAAACGGAGUGGACGUCGAGGUAGAGGACGUCGAGGCGGAGCUCUGGGCAGACUGGCUCGGCCGGAGACGCGAAGGAGCGGCCGGAAGAGCUCGCCGAAGCGCGGCGGAGCUCGCCGUGGCAAUGGCGGAGCGAAAUGGAGCGCUCUGAGCGAGUGGGGGUCGCGUCUGAGGCAUCCACUCGGUGCGUGGUGACUUGUGGACGCUGUGGGAGCUGACAGGGGGGCCGUCGACGGCGUACGGCCGACAGGUGGCCGGACACGCGGCGGCGGGUGAGCUCUCUCCAAACUGAAUCAUUUUUCUGAAACGCCGAUUGCAGUGACUGAAUCCCGAAGUUCGUCGACGUUUUACUCUCAGCUCACUCGAUGGUUUUGGCUCAGAUUUGGUCCUUUGGAUAGAGCUACACGAGUUCUACAAGUUUGAUUACACGAGUACAGUCUAAAUCGAUCUGGAUUUCAAACUACAACGCUCCCAAUCACCCUAUGUCGAAACUGGCCGAUUCAAGACUUAGCUAAAUUUGGCUAAGUGUAGAAACAACACUGAUUUUUGGCUUGUGGGUAAAUUUUGGAGAUGUUCCAAACUUUUUCGUAAAAAGUCAUCAAUAUAACUUUUAUAGCUUAUGAAAUUUACUACAACUUUAUUUCAGGUGUCACAGACAUGCAAGGUAUCUAACAUUAUUUUCAUAAAACAUCUUUGAAAGAAGGUCUAGGGGGACAAUUAGGUCAACCUAGGGUUAACCAUGACUUAGAGACAUUUUUGGCCAAAACCUUCAACAUGAACUUUGCUCAAAAUGAUGUUCUAAACAUGAUUAAAGUAUUUUGGAAGACAAUGUACACUUGUAUGCCUUAGUCACCCAUUACAGUCAACCAUAGCAAGUCAUAUAGCAAUUUAAUCACAAAGUACAUGUAGCAAAUGGCAUGUGAUCAUGGUAUGAUGCUCAUGAGUGAUCAUGAUGAUGCUUAUGUUGAUGCAAUGCUCAUGGUUAACAUGCAAGCUAACACUAGGAGUGUUACAGCCCUCCCCCCUUACAAAAAUCUCGUCCCGAGAUUUGAAAGACGUACCAUUUUUCAUAGAAUGAGGGAUAAGUUACUUGUAAAUAGUCUUCCCUUUCCCAAGUGGCAUCUCCCUCACUUUGACGGUUCCACAAAACUCUAAAGAGUUUGAUCACUCUCCCACGAGUAACUCGUUCCUUGACAUCAAGAACUUGUACAGGCUUUUCUUCAUAGGACAGGUCAGACUGCAACUUUAGGCCUCUUGUUUCAACUCGCUCUUUGGGGACACGAAGACACUUCUUUAGUUGAGAUACGUGGAAUACAGGGAAAACGGUUCCUAAUUCCGGAGGUAGUUGUACUUUGUAAGCUACCUUGCCACUUUUCUUGAUGAUUUGAUAGGGACCCACAUACCUAGGUGCAAGCUUUCUUUUUACACCAAAGCGAUUUACUCCUUUCAUGGGUGAUACUUUUAGGUACACGAAGUCACCUACUUCGAACUCAAGUGGUUUCCUUCUCCUAUCCGCAUAGCUUUUCUGUCUAGCUUGGGCAGCUUUCAUGUGUUGCUGGAUAAUGAGAACUUUUUCUUCGGCUUCUUUGACAAAGUCAAUUCCGUAGUACCUCCUUUCACCAGGUUCGACCCAGUUUAGAGGAGUUCUACACUUGAGGCCAUACAAAGCUUCGAAAGGAGCCAUUUGAAUACUCUCUUAAUAACUAUUAUUGUAAGAGAAUUCAGCUAAGGGUAACCACUUCUCCCAUGCACCCUUGGAAGAUAUAACACAUGCCCUCAACAUAUCUUCUAAAAUCUGAUUCACACGCUCAGUCUGACCGGAGGUUUGAGGGUGGUAGGCUGAACUGCGAACCAACUUUGUACCGAGGAGUGAAUGCAGAUGCUCCCAAAAGCGAGCAGUGAACUGAGGACCUCUAUCGGAAAUAAUAGUGCGUGGCACUCCGUGCCAUCUAACAAUCUGAGAGAAGUAUAAUUCCGCGUAGUCGGAUAUUCGGUGUGUCGACUUCACGGGGAUAAAAUGGGCUGACUUGGUCAAACGGUCAACAAUUGCCCAUAUGGAGUCGUGUCCCUUUUGAGUAGGGGGAAGGCCAACAAUGAAAUCCAUGCUGAUUUCUUCCCAUUUCCAACCUAGAACUGACAAGGGUUGCAAUAACCCUGCAGGUUUAAGGUGAACUGCCUUUACCCCGCAGCAAGUAUCACACCUAGCAACAUAAGCUGCUAUCUCCUUCUUCAUCUUGGUCCACCAAAAACGAGGUUUCAAGUCUUGGUACAUUUUGCUACCACCCAGAUGAAUGGACAACUUGGAAGAAUGAGCUUCAUCUAAAAUUUUGUUGCGUAGGUUGCGGUCUUUAGGUACAACUAGUCGAUCGUCAAACCACAGUACACCCUUCUCAUCUACCCUGAAAUGCUUGGUGUCUUGCUCUUGCAUUUUUCUUUUGAUAUGGAAAAUACCAGGAUCAGACUUUUGGAGCUCUACAAUUUGACUCUCUAACGAGCAGCUGACUACGAUGUUGUGCAGGACCACCGGAUGCAAUAAAUUGAAGCCUUCCUCUAAAAGAGGUCCAACAUGUUGUUUCCGGCUAAGAGCGUCGGCUACAACAUUGGCCUUGCCCGGAUGAUAGUGCACUUCUAGAUUGUAGUCUUUUAUCAAUUCCAACCAUCUUCUUUGUCUCAUGUUUAGCUCGGGCUGAGUGAAUAUAUAUUUGAGGCUCUUAUGGUCAGUGUAAAUGUGACAUAGGUUACCCAACAGAUAAUGCCUCCAGAGUUUCAACGCAUGUACAACUGCUGCUAACUAUAGAUCAUGAGUCGGGUAGUUGGCUUCAUGUUUCCUCAACUGUCGAGAGGCGUAGGCAAUAACUCGGCCUUCUUGCAUAAGCACACAACCUAGGCUAGUGCCAGAUGCAUCACAAAAGACAUCAAAUGGCUUUUCAAUGUCAGGCUGUGCCAGAACAGGGGUGGUGGUCAACAAAUGGCGUAAAGUGGUGAAAGCGACUUCACACUCCUGAGACCACACAAACUUCACAUCUUUUUGCAGUAGAUUGGUCAUAGGCUUAGCUAUUUUAGAGAAGUCUGGAAUAAAGCGACGAUAAUAUCCGGCUAGACCGAGAAAAUUCCGGACCUCGUGCACUGAAGUCGGGGCCUUCCGGUCUAGAACCUCCUGCACUUUUGAUGGGUCAACAGAAAUACCCUCUUCGGAUAAAAUAUGGACUAGGAAAGGCACUUUCUUCAGCCAAAACUCACACUUGCUGAACUUGGCAUAGAGCUGAUGUUCUCGCAAUCUAGUGAGUACAAUCCGAAGGUGCUUCUCAUGUUCUUGGGCAUUCUCAGAAUACACCAAUAUAUCAUCGAUGAACACCACCACAAACUUAUCCAGUUCAGGCAUGAACACCGAAUUCAUCAGGUACAUGAAAUGAGCAGGGGCAUUAGUCAGACCAAAGGACAUGACUAGAUACUCAUACAACCCAUACCUGGUAGAGAAAGCCGUUUUAGUAAUGUCUUCGGGUCGGAUCUUGAUUUGAUGAUACCCAGAUCUCAGAUCAAUCUUGGAAAACACUUUGGCUUUGGCUAAUUGAUCUAACAGGAUAUCAAUGCGAGGCAAUGGAUACUUGUUUUUAACAGUCACGACAUUGAGCGGACGAUAGUCUACACACAUACGUAGAGACUUGUCCUUCUUCUUAACAAAGAGAGCCGGACAACCCCAUGGAGAAGAACUAGGCCGAAUAAGACCUUUCUCGAGAAGUUCUUGUAACUGCUUUUCAAUUCUACCAAUUCGUUGGGUGGCAUGCGAUAUGGCCUUCUAGAGAUAGGCGCGGUACCCGGAAUUAGAUCAAUUUUAAACUCAAUGUCUCUGUCCGGUGGCAACCCGGGCAGAUCCUCUGGAAAAACAUCUGGAAACUCACACACUUGUUGGGUAUUUUAAACGCAAACAGAAAAAUCCGCAAGCGCACGGAUACCGAUGUAGCCUUCACCCGGGAGUAUUCCAGAGUAUCGAUUUUUUCCACAGGGAACGUGAGUGUACUAAUUACGAUCCAAGAUCGCCCAAGGAUAACUAUAUAAUUAUUUUUGGUGGGAAGAGAGGAAGUUUCCUGAGAGUUCUCUAAUUGAUCUAAGAAUCAAGAAUUACUUCAAGAUUAUCUAUUUCGGGACAUCAGAACACUAACCACAGAAAGAGAUGAGAAGGGGGCUAGGAAGCUCCGACUACGGUCCUACAAACACCGAUCCGAACGUGGUGGAAUACGUCGACCGUUAGGGCUGUCACUACCCUAAGGCUACCACAACAAUCCGCAGGAUUGGGUGCAAUUCCAGGUAAUUGCAAGACUAAACACCACGUCUAAUCUAUUAAUUACUACUCUAGCGUUAUAAAGACUAGAGCACUUGAUGCAAGCGGGAAUCCAAUAAAUAACUUGAAUGUAAAUAAAAGUAAUUAAAGAACUCAGGAAUUAUGAAUUGAAGAACCUGGAGAACGAUGAAGAACGAACCAGAUGCUGCAAAAGUAUAAUGUUGAGGAAGAUCCGACAGAUCCGGCUCCUCCUCCGCUCUCCUCUUCUCUCUCCCUAUUUUCUAGAUUACAACUAGAACUAACUAGAACUAGAACUAGAAGAACUAGAACUAGAACUAGAUGAACUAGAACUAGAUCUAGAUGAACUAGAUGUAGAACUAGAAGAACUAGAGGGAUCCUCUCUACUUGGAUGAAGAAUUGAAACCCUAACUUUGAUUCUGUAGAAGAGGUAUGAUCUCCAGGGGCCAGGGGGGUCUGGUUUUAUAGUCCCUUCAAGUGAAUCUGGGCCGUCGGAUCAAACCGACAUUGAUCGUGUGGUUUUCCUUGAAGUAUUAGGUCGGUGGAGCAUGAUCCUCGAACUUCACCCUGAUUGGUGGAAAGAGGUGGGCGGGCGCCCUCAGGACUAGGGCGGGCGCCCUGUCCCUGAGGCCUCUCGGCUUCCGCUUCGGUCCCGUGGCUUCUGGAGUCUUCUAGAUGAUAGAAAAUUGCGCGGCACGUUAAUAUCUCUAUGUAAACCCAACGUGUGGGCCUUUCUUUCAUAUUUCCUGAUAACCCCCUGCAGAAAUAGACAAACACCAAAACUUGUGGAAUUCUGUCAGAUAAAACCCUAAGUCUAGGUGUUGGUUGCAUUUGGAUCCUUUUCUAUGAUUAAUUGAUGGUUAAAUAUGAGCAUUAAGGACCGUCAACAAGCUCCCCCAAGCUUAACCUUUGCUCGUCCCUGAGCAAAGAUGAACUCAAGAGUUUCUGCAGUGGUUUCAUAACUUAAAGAUACACAUGCGUUUAAACAAGAUCUCAUCUCUGGUUAGAGUAAACUGUGAAGACUUAAAACUUACUCAUUUACCUUUCACCAUGGGACUUGUAACCGUCACUUCUGUCUUGAGUAGUUAAAAGAUAGAACAGUCUAGUCAAACACCAUGUCUCUUGUUCUUCGAUUAACUAUAGCUCUGGAGUUUUUGCAGAUUUUCAAAUAAAACUCAGAGAUUACUUGUAUGACUCUCUCUAGUCUCUCUUUUGUGGUAUUUCUGGAUCCUUACCAAGGUAGUAAUGGUAUAUACCUUCUCUCAAAGUAUGUGGUAUUUGUGGUAUAAGGCAUAGUGACAUUGCCUUCUCUCUCACCCUACUCUAAUAAGGCUUUUGAUAUCUGGAGCUCAUAGGUGGGAGACAGCUAAUACAUACUUACAAGACAUUUAUUGCAUAGUCAAACCAUGGAUCCAAAAGAACAAGUCAAUAAGUCAAAUCAAGAUGUGCAUGUGUGGCGAAUGAAUGGUGUAUGGUGAUGAUGGUGAUAACAAUGGUGAAAGUCUAAUUCUACUUAUGCUCUUUUGAGGGGAUACAUACCUUUCUUGCACUUUUGAAACUUUUUGAAGAGAAUGAGAUGCUCUAUAUUUUUUUUUCUUUUCUCUCAAGUGGGUAUCUUGUACCCCUAAUUCUACUGUCGGACACUUGUCCAUUUUUACCUCUCGUCUCACUUUUUCUUUUCUUUCGAGGUUCCGGGCACUUGCCCCCUUUUUAUUUCCUCGUAUCUUUUUUUUCUCUUUUUUUUUGUUUUUUUUAGAGCACUCAUCUCUUGAAAUAAUGUAGCAAGUGGUAGUAACCAAGAUAACUUGAGCAUUUUUUUUUCACAGGGAAAAACAGAAAUAGGAGAAUGUUUUUGGCUAUUCUCUCCCGGAUUAGGAGUAGAAUAUUUUUGGGUGGUUCUGGAGAUGGAAAUGGAUGGAUAUAUGUGGAUGGUACUUCUGGAGUAGAAGUAGCAUGUGUGAGUGAACGUGCAAGUGAAUCUUGAUUUUAACCACAUGACAAGCUCCUAAGGGUCUACACAGCUUGACCACACUCAAUGCUCAUAAGCAGUAAAAAGUAAAUGUGUGGCUCAAAGUCUAGCAAGCAUGUAUAUAUGGUUGUGGUAGGAAUUUAAACUCUCAUCAUACAGGAACUCAUCAUGCAACAUUUUAAAGAUUUUCAAAGAUAAAAUUCUCCAGAAUUCUAGCAUCUCUAGGAACAGAUAAACAGCAGCUCAACCUUCCCAUAUCAUAUCCGUUAACGACUUAGACUUUAGAUCAAGUACUCUUCCCACAAGUUUAGGUUUAGAGCAAAUCUUAAUUAAUAACAGUGAUGCCUAAACUUGAGAGAGAUUUCAAUUUUGAGAACUAGUCAUGGCAGAGCAAAUAUUCAUCUUUCCAUGUGAGAGCUUAUCAUGAGGGUUCAUAGCAAACUUUAUUUAUUUAUUUAUUUAGCAAGCUAAGCAAAGAUAUAUAUAUAUAAGCACAAAAUCUUUAUUUGGGUUUUUAUGAUUAUGCAUCUUUUUAUUAUUAGAGUAAAGGAUAAACGUGAGUAGAAUACUUAGCUGGAUAAAUGAGGGUGCUCUUCCCCAAGCUGGAUUUUGACAUAAUUUCUUCUGAUGUAGCUAGUAGGUGGCGGAGGUGUAUUUGAAUGUCGGCAGCACCUUGACAGUGAGUAGGAUGUCCUCCGUCUGGUAGUCUUCUUUGAUCCUUGAAUUCUGUGGAGCUCAAAUAGACAACAAAGCUUUGUGGAACUGUUUAAGGGUUAGCGUAAAUACCUAGCCUUUAUCAUGUUGAGCCUCCUCAAUAAAUGUUACUCUCUUUAGUAGGAUCAUAAAUUUAUUUUUAUAUUUUCAUUUUUAUAGGACAGGAAUAUAUUUAUUUUAUUUUUAUGCCACCACAGUGAAUGUACUUAUGGGUUUUAUGCCAUGAGCAUACUCACAUGGGGCUUACUAUUUUUAACAUUUUUAUUUUCUUUUCAAGAUGAUAUAAACCUGACUAAGUAAACUAUUUUAAAAUAAUUGAAAGGAAAAGAUAACUACCAAGUUUACCUCUUGGCAAGGCGUUCGGUGUUUUUAAAUCCUCCGAACGGGACUCUCCGUUUUCUCAUUCGUCCUGGGAUUCGCUAGAUGGCGUAGUCGGUGGUUCCGGCAGCGCCUGGUCUUCAUGUAUAACUAUCUUCUCUCUCCACACCUGACUCGGUGCUACGGUCUCCUCAGGACAGUUCUAUUCAAGUUGUAUGUCUUCAGACCUUACAACUUCUCCUUCAUCGUCUACCCAUCCGUCCUUGAUGAUUUGCCUUCUCUGAUUGCGGUUGCGUCGUCUUCUUCUUGUCCUGACCUGCUUAGAGUCUUCAACUAUAUGGUUAGGGUCAGUACAAUAGCGGCGUACCUUCUCAGAGGGGAAGUGCAUGUGGACUUCUCCGGUUCCAAUGUAGAUGAUUGCUUUAACGGUGUUGAGGAACGGUCUUCCAAGGAUGACGGGUGGAUUGUACUCGUCUUCUCCCAUGACAAUAACCUUCAAAUCAUCUGGAGCUGAAUGUAUUUUGGUUGUAGAUGCAUGGUUCCAUGCAGGAGCUGGGUCAUCCUUUUUGGUCAGGAAUGGUGACUUAAGUCGAUGAUCUUGACCUCCUUGAACUGCAGUGACCAUCUUAGCUGACUCCGUCCACAUUUGCUUGUUCUUGUUCCUCCUAUUGGUCCUUUCCUUGUUUCAUGUCAGGAUUGCUCUAAGAUUUGUGUAGUCUUGUUCUUGAAGGAAAACAUCUCCUUCCUCCCCUUGAUGUAGAAACUGAUCUUGGCAGCACUAGCGUAGAUGACAGCUCCUGAGGUGUUCAGGAAUGGCCUCCCUAGGAUGGGUGCCCUCUCAUCAGUACCAGUCUCUAUCACCAUGAAGUCUGCUGGGGCGUACAAGGUACCAACUCGUAUACAGAGGUUCUUCAAUAUUCCAUUUGGGCAACUUAGUGUACGGUCUGCAAGCUGCAAACCCAUGGUUGUUUCUGAUAAAGGAUGUGUAAAGAAUUUUUCUUAGAGUACUCUGGGCAUAAUGUUGACGCUGGAGCCAAAGUCGCAGAGUGCUUCUGGGAAGUCCACCAUGCCGAUGGAGAUCGGGAUGACGGGAUGUCCUGGAUUGUAUCUCUUAACCGGCAGAAGGUCAGUAAUUACUUCCACAAUAGGGUUACUCCAGUAGUUACAUCCUCAAGCAUCUCAGGGCAGUGAUUGCCUGAGUGUCUAGUAUCUCCAGUGUGUUUGUGCUCGUAGAUCUAGGUUCUUCACUUGGUGGAGUCUGGGAGUUAUAAAAGUCCUUCAUAUUUUGCUCAAAGUGUACCUGCUCAUAGAGACAAGGCAGAGAUCAAGUGCAUGGGCCCUGUUGGUGGAAAACACCAACAGAACCAAAAGUGUAUUUGUUCUCUCUAACCUUAAGCAUAGUGAGAAAGACAAAGUUGAUGGAUAAUAAGACCAUGAGUGUAACAUUUAAAACAUUUGUUAGAUCAGAUUGCUCAACCUUAUGGAAAGAUAAUCUAUCUAUAUUUAUGUUUUGUUUAUAUCUUCCAAAGAUUGAGUGUGCAUUUUAGCUAAUAUGAUUAGGAGUGUGGAAUCACAAAGGUGGAAGGACUAAACAUAUUGAAUCGAUUGGGUUGGUUAAUCUAGAGUUGUAAAUCAUACAUGUUUGUCUCUUUUAUUCAUGUGAACACUAGAACAAAGGAGAAGCUUAUAGAAGUGAUAGUCAAGUACCUUAAGAUGUUACCUUACUUGAAGAGUGAUGGUACAAUAUCACCUUGUGGAAGCUUUCCUCUCUUAGCGGUUGUGCAUCGUGUUUGUGGCACCCUCCAUCGAUCAUCUCUUGUGCCUUCCUUGUGUAAAUUGUUAAACUUCAUGUGUCUCUCUCUUUAUCUCCAAUGUGAGUUUAUCUCAGGACUUCUCAGGUCGAUAUUGAAAGUUUUCCUGUAGGGGUUAGUCCAACAAAAUAUCCAAUAUCUACUAUAGCAUACUAUCGGCUCAAAGAUCAACCUAGACACCAUGUCUAAUUUGAUUUAGGAGGGAAUUUUAACCUAAGCAUCAUGCUUAAUUUAAAAUCCUUUGGAAGUAAGAUCAUCUUUCCUAAACUAAGCACCUUGCUUAAUUAAGAGAUAAAUGAAACUACUCCAAACCUAGACAUAUACUAAAGCAAAUAAAGGUAGCAUGAAAGCAUUUAUAGAGAUCUACUCAAGUGGAGAUGAAGUAGUGUGACUAGUAUUUAACAAAUUGAGCAUGUCUCAAAGGUAGGGACGACCAACAUAGCAACAUGGCAAAGGAUGUUUUUAUGUAAAGUACUCCCCCAAGCUUGAAUUUUGCAAAAUUCAAGUUUGGAUGAAUUUAAUUCAAUGUUGUAUGAUGAUUGGUUGGACAUACCUUGUGCUUGUCAUUCAUUCGAUCUUCUUGCUCCAAUCCUAGAAAGGUUAGUGACAAGAAUACCCGAAGGAAUGUUUUUACAAUUAUCCUUAUAUGCUUAACACACAAGGUAAUAUUGCAAAUAAUUAAAAGCUCAUGUUACGAUCUGAUCAGUGCUUAUUUUAGGACACUAAGCUUGUCCUUGGGAAACCAUUAAUUUAUGUCUGCGAAGUGGCUGACCUAUAUCAAGAUCAACUCAACGAGAUCUGCAAUAUAUAUUAUAGACAUAUGCAUCGACAACCACCCUUUUAAAGUUUUUAUAAAUAGAAAGGAAGAGGGGGUUGGAGAUCUUGAAUGUGGUGAUAUUGGAGAGACCAAUGGAUUGUGAAGAUGUUGCAUAUGAGCAUGGAGUAAGUGAAGUGGCUAUGAAAUAAAUUCCAUGCUCAUUAAUGCUUAGAGUGAAAUCCAUGUGGUGUGGUGAAAAUGGUAAGGUGAGUGUGGUAUAAAAGGAAAAGAAAAAGGAUACACGGACGACUUGGUUCGAAACUAGCACAGCUACCGUUCCCCAGCAACGGCGCCAGAAAGCUUGUUGGGUAUUUUAAACGCAAACAGAAAAAUCCGCAAGCGCACGGAUACCGAUGUAGCCUUCACCCGGGAGUAUUCCAGAGUAUCGAUUUUCCACAAGGAACGUGAGUGUACUAAUUACGAUCCAAGAUCGCCCAAGGAUAACUAUAUAAUUAUUUUUGGUGGGAAGAGAGGAAGUUUCCUGAGAGUUCUCUAAUUGAUCUAAGAAUCAAGAAUUACUUCAAGAUUAUCUAUUUCGGGACAUCAGAACACUAACCACAGAAAGAGAUGAGAAGGGGGCUAGGAAGCUCCGACUACGGUCCUACAAACACCGAUCCGAACGUGGUGGAAUACGUCGACCGUUAGGGCUGUCACUACCCUAAGGCUACCACAACAAUCCGCAGGAUUGGGUGCAAUUCCAGGUAAUUGCAAGACUAAACACCACGUCUAAUCUAUUAAUUACUACUCUAGCGUUAUAAAGACUAGAGCACUUGAUGCAAGCGGGAAUCCAAUAAAUAACUUGAAUGUAAAUAAAAGUAAUUAAAGAACUCAGGAAUUAUGAAUUGAAGAACCUGGAGAACGAUGAAGAACGAACCAGAUGCUGCAAAAGUAUAAUGUUGAGGAAGAUCCGACAGAUCCGGCUCCUCCUCCGGUCUCCUCUUCUCUCUCUCUAUUUUCUAGAUUACAACUAGAACUAACUAGAACUAGAACUAGAAGAACUAGAACUAGAACUAGAUGAACUAGAUCUAGAUCUAGAUGAACUAGAGGUAGAACUAGAAGAACUAGAGGGAUCCUCUCUACUUGGAUGAAGAAUUGAAACCCUAACUUUGAUUCUGUAGAAGAGGUAUGAUCUCCAGGGGCCAGGGGGGUCUGGUUUUAUAGUCCCUUCAAGUGAAUCUGGGCCGUCGGAUCAAACCGACAUUGAUCGUGUGGUUUUCCUUGAAGUAUUAGGUCGGUGGAGCAUGAUCCUCGAACUUCACCCUGAUUGGUGGAAAGAGGUGGGCGGGCGCCCUCAGGACUAGGGCGGGCGCCCUGUCCCUGAGGCCUCUCGGCUUCCGCUUCGGUCCCGUGGCUUCUGGAGUCUUCUAGAUGAUAGAAAAUUGCGCGGCACGUUAAUAUCUCUAUGUAAACCCGACGUGUGGGCCUUUCUUUCAUAUUUCCUGAUAACCCCCUGCAGAAAUAGACAAACACCAAAACUUGUGGAAUUCUGUCAGAUAAAACCCUAAGUCUAGGUGUUGGUUGCAUUUGGAUCCUUUUCUAUGAUUAAUUGAUGGUUAAAUAUGAGCAUUAAGGACCGUCAACAACACUACAUGAAUCUCCGCUACAGUGAGUGGUCUGAUAGCAUUAGCUGCGUGACGGAUGUCGUUGCUUCUAGGGAGUUGAACUAAGAAAGUUUCUUUACUAUCAGGCUCCCUCAACAUGAUUACCCUAGUUGAAGUGUCUAUCAACACCCCAUGAUCACUCAUCCAUUUCAUUCCUAGGAUAACAUCUAUUCCCAAGCCCGGUAAGAUGACAAGAUUUGCUGAAUAACUACGCCCUUCAAUGCCAAUAUGUAAAUCCCUCACUAAUUGAUUUGUAGAGAUCUGAUUACCAGCAGCACUAAUGCAAAAUUUUCCACUAUCCAGAUCAAUUACAUGUUGCCCAUGCUUAGAUGCGAAUGCUUGACUCACGAAUGAAUGCGAAGCUCCAGAAUCAAACAAGACAACUGCAGGGUGUUUAUUUACAAGGAACAUACCAGCCGUGACCACUUCACCUUUGGGGAUUUCUUCAAUGGUGGUAUAGUGCACUCGGCCAGUAUGGUUGUUACCCCCAGCUGUAGAAUUCCUCUUGGGAUAAGGGCAAUCUCUCGCCCAGUGACCAACUUGUUUGCAAUUGAAGCAGGGACGGUUAUUAGGGGGAGUCUUGGGACCUCCUUGACCCGUAGCACCCCUAGGAAGAGCAACUGUGAAGGACUUGCGAACUCCCGUCUUCACAUUUGACUUUUUCUGCGGCGGCCUAUACCUGGUCACAGCAUUUGGUGGGCGAUAGGCCAGCUUACUUGUCACUGGAGCCUUGGACUGUGAAGCACCUGCCUCAUAGGCCCUCUUGCGGUUCUUGGACGCGGCAUACAUGGCAUUGGAGUUCUCUUGAGUCAAUGCAUCACUCACAAACUCAUUAAAGGUGGUACUCUUGUUACCAGCCAUGUUCUUGGACAGCUUGGGUCCCAACCCUCUCUUGAAACUAGCAAGCUUCUUGACUUUAGUAUCAACCAUUUCAGGAGCAUAGCGAGACAGAUUAAUAAAAGCAUGAAGAUACUCAGUUAAGCUUUUAGUGCCCUGUGUCAAGUUCAUGAACUCAGUAUGCUUGAUAGUCAUUAAGCCUUGGGUAAUAUAAGUGUUCCUGAAAGUAGUUUUGAACUGAUCCCAGGUCACAACAGCAUUGGCAGGCAAGCUAGUCCUGUAAUGACUGCACCAAACCCCUGCUUUGCCCUCCAACUGGUGGGCUGCAUAUUCCACCUUUAACUCAUCAGUCACCCUCAGCAAACGGAACUUCUGCUCGAGAGUGUUGAGCCAUUCAUCAGAUUCUAGAGGUUCGACAGCCUCCUUGAAAAGUGGCAGCUUGGUGUCCUGGAAAUCCUUGAAGUUACUGUGCUGAUUAGCCUCUCCACCUUGACGGACAUGGCGACCACCCCGGUUCUGCUGCGCCAUAGUCUGCAUAGCUUCAUUAAGCAUUCGCUGGCCCUCAACAAGGGUUGCCAAGAGCUCAGCAAGCGUAGGCGGGGGAGGAGGUGGUGGUGGCGGCACUUCAUUGUGACCGGAGCGAGUAUUGCGAGCCAUCUACACAAGGCAUACCAAGUGACCGUUUAGGACAACAGAUAUAAUUUCCAUGAACCUCAAUUGCUGCCGUACGGAAUUUAAUGAAGUAAAUUCACAUAAUUCAGGGCACAAUAAUGCAUGUACAACAAGUGAAUAUCACCCACGACACUUGGUUAUUCUCGUGAUCAUUCACAGCCACAAUUCACAAGGAUUAAAGACAUUGCAGAAAAUUUAUUUAAGCUCAACAUAAACAUGGAGCAUCACAAUUUAAGUGCAUAGGGUCACACAACAUCAUUGCCACAACUUAAGUCUUACAGGAGGGGCACCAUGGCCAAAUACAUAGAGUCUCAGCUGAAAAUUCAGAUUACAUGUGCAUUACAUAAAGAGAUGGAAACUGAUACAUGAGCAUGGAAUCUUUGCUAGGCUACAUGUCCUCCUCGGAUUCUCCAUUAGAAAUGAUGCCACCAUCCUGAUCUUCCUCACUAGGAGCUUCUUCAUGAUUAAAGGGGACAGGAUGUGGAAUAGGAUUUAUGAUAUUAUUUAGGCGAUGGACAUCUAACUACAGCUCAGCAAUCCUAGUGAUCAGCUCUUCCUCUCUCAUUUCCACAUGGAACAAAUCUCUAACUCUAGCAGCUUCUCUAUUCUCAGCUAAGCGCAUAGCCUCAUCUCUUUCUCUAGUCAUUUGCAUCAUACAGGCUUGUGCCUCAUUGCGCUCUCUAACUGCGUUUUCAACUUAGUUGCAACGGGCUUGCAAAGCGGUGUGAUAGUUUUGGAUUUCAGCUUAUGCAUCCCUAAAAGCCUUGCGGUGCUUGCGCACACGCUUGCGCAGUUUGCGCUGCCCAACUUGAGCUUGCUGGAGCGCUAGCAUGGCCUCUAUGUAGGUGUUGUUGACGGUUCUUAAGUAUCAAUUUUAAUUAUCAAAUAAACAAGAGAAAGGACCAAUAUGCAACCAACACCUAGAAUUAGGGUUUGAUCUGAUAGAAUUCCACGAGUUUUGUUGUUUAUCUAUUUCAGCAGGGGGUUAUCAGGAAAUAAGGAAGAAAGGCCCACAUGUCGGGAUUACAUAGAGAUAUCAACGCACCGCACAAUUUUCUACCAUCUAGAAGACUCCAGAAGCCACGGGAAGAAAGCAGAGGCCGAAAGGGGCCAGGCCCAGGGCGCCCGCCCUGAGGACCUGGGCGCCCGCCCCCCUCUGGAAGCCAUUCAGGACUCUCUUCGCACACGAUGUUCCACCGACCUAAUGGAUCAAGGAUAACGUAAUACCACAUCACCUACCGACCCAAAAAUGAAUAGAGGAGGAGGACUAUAUAAGGAGACCCCCUGGCCCCUGGAGAAGACAAGAAGUUAUCAUAGAGAUUGAGGGGUGCCCUCGAAGGAAAACCUCUUCUCUAAAUAAAAUUUCUUUUUAGGCUUAGCAACCAAUGUAAAGUAGAAAUAGAUCUUCUAGUUUUUACUAGAUUGAGAGAGAUGGAGUGGAGGUGUAGAUUGGAGGAAGCCCGGCCUGUCGGUGUCUACUCCAAGCUUGUACCUGCGGGAUCAAGUUCUCCUAACCCGAAGCUUGCUCCUAGGAUUCUUCAAUAUUUCGACUUCUAAAUUCUAGUAAGUUCUUGUUUUAUUGUUCUUUUGGUUUAUGAGUUUACUUUAAUCUCUUCGCGUAGAGUUUAGAGUAAUCAUUGCUGGCGUAAACGUGGUGUUUAGGCUGGGGUACUCAUAGAUAUUCCCUGACUAGCUAGACCGUGGUAGUAGCGAGGAACGUGACAAUUCCGAGUUACCUUUGCAGACCAUAUCUCGUUAGCAGGAAGGAUAGGGUUUCUAGGUGCGGGUUGAACAUCCUUUGUGGUGUCUAGAUUCCGUUAGCCUCCUUGAUAGAACAGUAGAUCAUCCUUACCAAGGUUAGAAGGAGACUACGGUUGCAGUCUUCUCUAUUUAUCACUCACAUUGAGAAACAUUCUUUGUUGCCUAAAGGGUUAGUAGUAAUAGACCGGUUAGUCAGAUGCACUCUUUCUCCUAGUGGUAAAAAAAUAAAUACGAUACUCUGGAUAACAUCCCGGGUGAAGUGCUCACCGAUAUCCGUGCGCUUGCGGAUCAAUUCCUUAUUGCGUUCCCAAAUAUCAACAAGCAUUUCUAGCGCCGUUGCCGGGGAGAAAGACGGUUUGCUGAGGUAACCUUGAGUCUUACUACUAGCUUGUAUCUAUACUUUUAUCUUUUCUUAUCUUUUAUAUUCUUUAUUUAUUUUCUUUACUCUUACCUUAUGGAAAACCAAAAUUCUAAAUCGAUCCAUGAAUCUGCAAUCCCUUCAGUAACUGACCUUUUACCAUGGGAACCAUCACAGCCUAUCCAAACAUCCCAGUAUAAGUUAAGUUCUAGGUUGAUUGCCAUGAUUCCAAACCUAUCUUUCUCGGGAAAGGAAGACGAAAACCCUUACCUUCAUGUUAGAGAUUUUGAGCAAACAUGUGAUUGUCUUCGCAUUGAAGGCAUUUCUGAUAAAACUUUACGUUGGAAGCUUUUUCCUUUUUCCUUAAGGGGAGAAGCUAGACAAUGGUACAGUCAGAAGGUAAGUCAACAACGAGGUGAAUGGGAAGUUUUACAAGCCAACUUUUGUCUAGAUUUCUAUUCCCUCGACCGUAUAGCCGACCUUAGACUCGAAGUCCUAUCUUUUAAACAAAAAGAUAAUGAAACUUUGGGAAAAUCCUGGAAACAUUUUUCUGAUCUUUUAGAAUCUGGUCCAAACCUUAAUCUUGAAGACCUUGUUCUUUUAUUUCACUUUUUUCGAGGUCUUCAGAAAAAUCACAAACAAAUGCUACACACAAUGCCUAGAGGUUCUUUCUUUCGCAUCCCUACUGAUGAAGCUAGAGUGAUCCUAGAUAGAAUCCUAGAAGCUGAGAUGGAUAAUACCCUUCAUGAUGAAACCUACGAAGCCGAAGUAGACACUCUGCCAAAUUCUUCAUCUACUUUAGCUAUCCCAAGUUCUGAGCCACAAAAGGAAGAAAUUCCACCACCGGACUUCAUGCUGGAUAUAGAAUCCGAUCUUUUUGCCGAUUUUGGAAACAUUUCAAACUACCAUUUUGUUGACAAACCCCAAAAUGGCCAGUUUAGCAUUUAUUUGCCAAGUGAAUAUCAAUUGAGAGAGCUUAUCUCAGUUAUGAGUAGCGAGUGGUUGGAGGAAUCAGAGCUUUCCUCUGAUGUGAUCCGUUUGGACACACCCUCUAUAACUAUACGCUGUGCUUAUAAUUCUAAUCAAUUUAAUGCUCUUUAUAAUCCUAUUGUGGGGAUCAACAUCAUGUCUGAAUCUUUUGCACUUAAAUUAUUUAAAAAUCUUGUCUUAACCCCCACAACAAAGGUCAUAAAGGAAUCUUCGGGACGAUUAGUCCCCAGUCUUGGAAUUAUUAAUGUCCUACCUCUUACGGUAGAAGGCUCCAUGGUUCAUUUGAACUUCUAUAUCUUUGAUACAUGGGACUUCGACCUGUUGAUAGGACAACCUUUUAGAAGACUCCUUUAUGAAGGUCAUACUGGAAAGCUACACAUUUCUUUCGAAAAAACUUUUAAAUUCCCAAUAACAAUUUCACACUCCUCGAAUAAUAAGGCCGAGUCAUUUCUUUUGCCUGAUCCUAUGGAGGAGGUAAAGGCUGCAUCUCUUGAACUUUUAGAAGAAUCAGACUUAGAAGACGAAACUCCUUUCUUCAUAGAAGAAGAAGCCAAACCUUCUGAACCUGAACCCUUAGAUGAGUUUGCAGAAACACCUAGACCCCCCAUAGAGUUUAAAACUUUACCACCCGGUCUUAUCUAUGCUUUCCUAAACAAUAAUCCAGAGUUUCCUGUGAUCAUUAGCGAUAAACUCACUUAGGAGCAAACUCUGCGAUUGAUGACCAUUCUUGAGAAACAUCACUCAGUUUUCGGCUACUCACUCCAAGAUCUUACAGGAAUCUAUCCUAUGAUUUGUACCCAUCAUAUUCCAACAGAUCCUUCUGUUUCACCUUCUCGAGAACCCCAACGUAGACUUAACAACACUAUGAGAGAGGUAGUUAAAAAGGAAGUUAUAAAGUUGCUGCAUGCAGGGAUUAUAUAUCUUGUGCCGCACAGUGAGUGGGUAAGCCCAGUUCAAGUUGUGCCCAAAAAGGGAGGCAUGACUAUUAUUAUGAAUGAAAAGAAUGAGCUAAUUCCGCAACGCACCGUCACAGGAUGAUGGAUGUGCAUAGAAUAUAGAAAACUAAACAAAGCCACGAGAAAGGAUCACAUUCUAUGCUUACCGUAGAAUGUCUUUUGGGUUAUGUAAUGCACCAGCUUCUUUUCAAAGAUGCAUGAUGCCUAUAUUUUCUGAUAUGAUUGAAGAUAUUAUGGAAGUUUUCAUGGAUGAUUUCUCUGUAUAUGGAAAAACUUUUUAUAGUUGUCUUGAAAACUUAGACAAGGUUUUGCAAAGAUGUGAAGAAAACCACUUAGUCCUUAAUUGGGAAAAAUGUCAUUUCAUGGUUAGGGAAGGAAUAGUGCAGGGACACCUAGUGUCUAAAAGAGGUAUUGAGGUAGACAAAGCUAAAAUUGAAGUAAUUGAACAACUACCUCCACGUGUGAACAUAAAAGGAAUUCGAAUCUUUCUUGGCCAUGCUGGUUUUUAUCGCAGAUUUAUAAAAGAUUUCUCAUUCAUUGCUAGACCACUUACUCUUUUGCUAGCCACGGAUGCUCCUUUCAAAUUUGAUGAUGCAUGUCUAACAUCUUUUAAUUUAUUAAAGAAAGCACUCAUCUCUGCACCAAUCAUUCAACCCCCUGAUUGGUCGUUGCCUUUUGAAAUUAUGUGUGAUGCUAGUGAUUAUGUUGUGGGGCAGUAUUAGGACAAACUAAAAAUAAGAAGCAUCAUGCAAUUGCUUAUGCCAGUAAAACAUUGACAGGAGCUCAACUUAAUUAUGCAACCACUAAAAAAGAGCUUCUAGCUGUUGUCUUUGCCAUUGAUAAAUUUUGAUCCUAUUUAGUUGGAGCUAAAAUAAUUGUUUACACUGAUCAUGCUGCACUAAAAUAUUUGCUCACUAAAAAAGAUGCUAAACCUCGCUUGAUUUGAUGGAUCUUAUUACUCUAAGAAUUUGACUUAGAAAUAAAAGAUAAAAAGGGAGUAGAAAAUUCUAUUGCUGAUCACUUGUCUAGAAUGUAUUUUAAGAGUCCACAGGAAACCCCCAUCAAUGAUUCACUCUAGGACGACAUGCUCUACGGGAUUAACAGGUCUGACCCCUGGUAUGCAGAUAUUGUUAAUUUUAUGGUUUCAGGGUAUGUACCACCAGGAGCAAACAAGAAGAAGCUUAUUCAAGAAAGUCGUUCACAUAUAUGGGAUGAGCCAUACCUCUUCCGAGUAUGCUCUGAUGGCUUACUCAGGAGAUGUGUGACCACUGAGGAAGGAUGGAAGAUCAUCGACAGAUGUCAUUCAUCACCAUAUGGAGGUCACUAUGGAGCAUUCCGUACACAUUCAAAGAUCUGACAGUGUGGAUUCUACUGGCCUACAAUGUAUGAAGACAUGAAGCAAUAUAUCAGAAGAUGUGGGCCAUGUCAAAGACACGGAAACAUAAACAUAAGAGAUGCAAUGCCACUCACCAACAACCUUCAGAUUGAGCUCUUUGAUGUCUGGGGAAUAGACUAUAUGGGUCCAUUUCGUCCAUCAAAGAAGUGCGAGUACAUCUUGGUGGCAGUUGACUAUGUCUCCAAGUAGGUAGAGGCAUUACCUUGCAAGCAUGCCGACAACAUCAGUUCAAAGAGGAUGUUUGAAGAAAUUAUAUUUCCAAGAUUUGGAGUCCCUAGAGUAGUGAUAAGUGAUGGAGGAGCACACUUCAUCGACAAACGCUUCAAGCAAUAUCUAUCAAAACAUGGAAUCCGUCACAACGUCGCUACUCCCUAUCAUCCUCAGACAAGUGGCCAAGCAGAGACUUCCAACAAGCAAAUCAAGAAUAUUCUUCCGAAGACAGUAAAUGAAAUGAGAAUGGCGUGGAAAGACAAGCUACCCGAUGCACUCUAGGCAUACCGGACAGCAUACAAGACCCCAAUUGGAAUGUCUCCAUACCAAUUGGUGUACAGGAAGACUUGCCACCUACCUGUUGAACUAGAGUUCAAAGCACACUGGGCCAUAAAGAGAUGGAAUAUGGACCUAGAUGUUGCUGGAGAUCAUAGAAGAAUGCAAUUAUCAGAAUUGGAAGAAUGGCGAGAGAAAGCAUAUCACAAUUCAAAGAUCUACAAAGAAAGAGUCAAAAGGUGGCAUGACAAGAGAAUCAAGAAGGAGUUCACACCCAGAGAUAAGGUAUUACUUUUUAAUUCCAGGGUGAAGCUUUUCGGGCAUGGAAAACUCCGGAGCAAAUGGGAAGGACCAUUCAAGGUAAUUAAUUCAUCAUCCCAUGGAGCUAUCACACUUCAAAAUGACGAAGGUACGUUAGUCAAGGUAAAUGGUCAACGUCUUAAACUAUUUUUAGAGCCCAAUAAAGAAUUAGAAGAAAUAGACGUAAUCCAUUUUUACCUUCCCAUGGAGAAUUAGAGCCCGACACUUUUAAUCUGAUAUUUUUCUAAAUAAUUUUACAUCUAGAAACGCGCUCGAGGAAGUGGGCCCACAGAGGGGCCAGAGAGAGGGCGGGCGCCCAGAUCAGGUGGGCGGGCGCCCCGCUCCUGUUCCCCCUCGGUCCCGAUUUUCUCUGUUAUGGAAAAUGCACUUAUGGUAAUCCGAAUAAUCCCUCAGAUGGAAUGUUUCGCACGCACAUCGACGGGAGCAACCCGAACAACCCUUAGAGGCACUUUUUGACCCCUAUAUAAACAGACCCCUGACAUGAGUUUUCAAACACCAAACCACCAAGCCUUCUCUUCUUCUUCAAUUAGAGCUUGAUUAGUUCCUCGCUGCUCCAAUGGUCGAGAAGUUCCACGAUGAUUGGGAAGUCGUCCCCUUCAACCUCAACAUGGAGCCUGUGGAAGACCUCGAUGCCCGUGCUCUCGUCCCGGCCAACACAGAGCGACAGCUAGAAGCCAUACCAUUACGCCAACGCAGCUCUGCCCCAAUCCUACCAUGCUCAACCAGUUCUCACCGCACCGCCACAACCCCUACUUCUCAAGGGAUCAUCAUCCAAAACAAAGACCACCAUCAAGGUGCCAACCGGCACGAGGAUCCUUCCACCCAGACCCAAUGAGAGGGUCGUUGGAGUCAAGACCAACCGGAGCGGCGAGAUCAGCAGUAUUCGCUACACUACGAAGGAAGAAAGGCCUUACUUCGAAGGGAUUAGAGCAGCCAAAGUCCGUUUCAUCCCUCCAAAGGCAGCCCCGAAGCACGCUCUCAAUGCUUUUGAGACACCUCCCAAGCGUCGCAAGACUAUAAUGGAUAUUGAUGAGGACGUUCGCAGACUAGACAGAGUUAUCAUAGACCUCCAGUCCUCGAUUAAUUCCCUCACUAGGCAGCUCUCUAAUCACAACACCAUUAUACUAGGCCUUAGGCAGGAUCUUGCUAGUGCCAACAAGAAGAUUAAGGAGUUAGAGCGCCGCUGAGUUAUCUAGAUUAGACCUUGAGGCAAUGCAUCUUAGUUAUCUAUCUUUAAAUUCGGUUUAGGUUUACUAUUAUCAUCAGUUUGUUACUAUUGCUAUCAGUUUACUACUAGUCAUUUGUAAUAAAUGCCUCAAGGUUAAUAAAGAGUAUUAUUAUUAUUAUUAUUAUGUCUUGUGUGUCUCUACUUUAUUUUUGUGCAAGAAAGCAGAAAACAAGUAUGGGGGAGAUCCCUCGACAUGCCAAACACACUUCGACUACACCACUCCACGAUUCAGGUACACACUCUGCACACGUACUUUACACAUACACAUAUCUUGGAUUAUGCAGAAUACUGUUUCCGACAUGAUAAAUGAUAUAGAUUAAAAUGUUUCUAAAUAUGAUUAAUCUCACUCUGUGAUAUUUCCUGAAACUUGCAAUUAUUGAAAAAAAUCAUUUUAAAACCCUGUGUUACUUAAGUCAAUAUGGAAUAUGAGAUAUUAGAGUAUGAGUUUCUUAUUCUUGAUAUCAUUGUUGCUUGGAGAAUUUAUUUCAAAAUCUUUAAAAUUCUAGCUACCAUCCUCAGUGUUUUAUAUGCCUGAUUAAACUGAAAAUACUAAUUAUAAAAGCUAUCUACUCUGUAUUAAGUUUGUUCAACAUGAGUUAGACCCUUGUUGAGAGAUUUAUCAUGCUCCUAAGAUCAAGACAUUUAUUCAGAAAGAUUCACUCUUCCGAAGUAUUAUUGCAUUAGAGGCAUGGGCUAUGCAAAAAUAAAGAUAUUUCGAGGAAAUAAAAAGGAGCAAGUGCUCGAUAACCUCGCAGAAAAAAUGGACAAGUGUCCGGC